GACGAACGCUGGCGGCGUGCUUAACACAUGCAAGUCGAACGGUGAGGCGCUUUCCUUUUUGGUUGGUGUGGAUGAGUGGCGAACGGGUGAGUAACACGUGAGUAACCUGCCCCCUCCUUCUGGAUAACCGCAUGAAAGUGUGGCUAAUACGGGAUAUUCUGCGCCUGCUGCAUGGUGGGUGUGGGAAAGAUUGUGCCUUUGGGUGUUUUCGGUGGGGGUUGGGGUCGCGGCCUAUCAGCUUGUUGGUGGGGUGAUGGCCUACCAAGGCGGUGACGGGUAGCCGGGCUGAGAGGGUGGACGGUCACACUGGGACUGAGGCACGGCCCAGAAUCGUACGGGAGGGAGCAGUGGGGAAGAUUGCACAAUGGGCGCAAGCCUGAUGCAGCGACGCCGCGUGAGGGAUGGAGGCCUUCGGGUUGUGAACCUCUUUCGCAAGUGAAGCAGGCCUGCUCCUUGUGGGUGGGUUGACGGUAGCUGGAUAAGAAGCGCCGGCUAACUACGUG
rnacentral:rRNA from 1 species